ACAAUCCAAAUAACACAUAUUAUUCCGGUCAGACGAUCCAUGGCACGAUUUAUUUGAACUACUCCGAAAUUCGUGGAAUUCAUUUUCGUGUCAUUGGAAAGGCCAAGUGUGCAUGGACCGAAUGGUUUGUGCGAGAAUCAAAACCAGCUGACGGCAAAAGUGAAACAUCAGACUCCAGAUAUUAUGGCAAAGAAGAACAUUUGAAUCCGGCUGUGUAUGUUGUCGGUGCGAAAAACGGUCCAAAUUCCCACGCAUGCUUUUGGCACGGAUUAUAGAAAAAAAGCGACGGAAUGAUGAGCUCUCGACUGAACUCACCAAAUGGAAGAAAAUCGCUCUCAAAAUGAAUCAGCAGUAUCGUUUGCAAAGGGCAACUACCAGCACGGAAACAGUUGAUAUUUCAUAAAUAUGUAAGCAAUUCAUCAUAGGUAUAGGUUAUUGACUCAAUUUUUUUUUCGUCCGUAUUUUCAAUGCUCUGACAAUGUAUUGUUCUCGAUUUUAAAAGUGAAUAAAAUGAAU